rnacentral:rRNA from 1 species
AUACGUAGGGUGCGAGCGUUAAUCGGAAUUACUGGGCGUAAAGCGUGCGCAGGCGGUUGUGUAAGUCAGAUGUGAAAUCCCCGGGCUCAACCUGGGAACUGCGGUUGUGACUGCAAGACUUGAGUACGGCAGAGGGGGUGGAAUUCCUGGUGUAGCAGUGAAAUGCGUAGAUAUCAGGAGGAACACCGAUGGCGAAGGCAGCCCCCUGGGCCUGUACUGACGCUCAUGCACGAAAGCGUGGGGAGC